rnacentral:rRNA from 1 species
GACGAACGCUGGCGGCGUGCCUAAUACAUGCAAGUAGGACGCAGUUGCGAACGGGUGAGUAACGCGUAGGUAACUACCUAUUAGAGGGGGAUAACUAUUGGACACGAUAGCUAAUACCGCAUACUAGUAGAUGGACCUGCGUUGUAUUAGCUAGUAGGUAGGGUAAUGGACUACCUAGGCAACGAUACAUAGCCGAGCUGAGAGGGUGAUAGGCCGCACGGGGACUGAGACAAGGCCCAGACCGCGACGGGAGGCAGCAGUAGGGAAUAUUGGGCAAUGGGGCGAACCGUGACCGAGCAACGCCGCGGGAGUGAAGAAGGGUUUCGGAUCGUAAAGCGCUGUUGUUAAGGAAGCGGUAGUUAGACAGAAAGGGACGGCUAACUACGUGCCAGCAGCCGCGGUAAUAC